GAUAUCCUAAAGAGUCAUUAGGAUACUAUUUCUAUAUUCUGAAAGAUCACAAUGUGAUUGUGAAUCGACAUGCUAUUUUUCUUGAAAAAUAGUUUAUUCAAGAUAGUGGCAUUGGAAGAAUAAUUAAGCUCAAGUAGAAUGUCUCCCAAGAGCAACGAGCUAAGGAACUUGAGGAACCCAAUCAAUUAAAACCAGUCCUAACACAACCUCUUCCA
rnacentral:lncRNA from 1 species